UCGAACGAGUUCUCGUUGAUGAUCGGUGCUUGCACCGAGAUUCAACAUGGAACGAGUGGCGGACGGGUGAGUAACACGUGGGUAACCUGCCCUUAAGUGGGGGAUAACAUUUGGAAACAGAUGCUAAUACCGCAUAGAUCCAAGAACCGCAUGGUUCUUGGCUGAAAGAUGGCGUAAGCUAUCGCUUUUGGAUGGACCCGCGGCGUAUUAGCUAGUUGGUGAGGUAAUGGCUCACCAAGGCGAUGAUACGUAGCCGAACUGAGAGGUUGAUCGGCCACAUUGGGACUGAGACACGGCCCAAACUCCUACGGGAGGCAGCAGUAGGGAAUCUUCCACAAUGGACGCAAGUCUGAUGGAGCAACGCCGCGUAAGUGAAGAAGGCUUUCGGGUCGUAAAACUCUGUUGUUGGAGAAGAAUGGUCGGCAGAGUAACUGUUGUCGGCGUGACGGUAUCCAACCAGAAAGCCACGGCUAACUACGUGCCAGCAGCCGCGGUAAUACGUAGGUGGCAAGCGUUAUCCGGAUUUAUUGGGCGUAAAGCGAGCGCAGGCGGUUUUUUAAGUCUGAUGUGAAAGCCCUCGGCUUAACCGAGGAAGCGCAUCGGAAACUGGGAAACUUGAGUGCAGAAGAGGACAGUGGAACUCCAUGUGUAGCGGUGAAAUGCGUAGAUAUAUGGAAGAACACCAGUGGCGAAGGCGGCUGUCUGGUCUGUAACUGACGCUGAGGCUCGAAAGCAUGGGUAGCGAACAGGAUUAGAUACCCUGGUAGUCCAUGCCGUAAACGAUGAAUGCUAGGUGUUGGAGGGUUUCCGCCCUUCAGUGCCGCAGCUAACGCAUUAAGCAUU
rnacentral:rRNA from 1 species